UACAGAGGGUGCAAGCGUUAAUCGGAUUUACUGGGCGUAAAGCGUGCGUAGGCGGUCAGAUAAGUCGGAUGUGAAAUCCCUGGGCUCAACCUGGGAACUGCAUUCGAUACUGUCUGACUAGAAUUCGGUAGAGGGUGGCGGAACUCCGGGUGUAGCGGUGAAAUGCGUAGAUAUCCGGAAGAACACCGAUGGCGAAGGCAACCACCUGGGCCUGAAUUGACGCUGAGGCACGAAAGCGUGGGGAGCAAACAGGAUUAGAUACCCUGGUAGUCCACGCCGUAAACGAUGAGAACUUGACGUCGGAUUGCUUAGCAAUUCGGUGUCGUAGCUAACGCGAUAAGUUCUCCGCCUGGGGAGUACGGCCGCAAGGUUGAA
rnacentral:rRNA from 1 species